rnacentral:rRNA from 1 species
GGUGAACGCUGGCGGUAGACCUAACACAUGCAAGUCGAACGGCAGCACAGUAAGAGCUUGCUCUUACGGGUGGCGAGUGGCGGACGGGUGAGGAAUACAUCGGAAUCUACUUUUUCGUGGGGGAUAACGUAGGGAAACUUACGCUAAUACCGCAUACGACCUACGGGUGAAAGCAGGGGAUCUUCGGACCUUGCGCGAUUGAAUGAGCCGAUGUCGGAUUAGCUAGUUGGCGGGGUAAAGGCCCACCAAGGCGACGAUCCGUAGCUGGUCUGAGAGGAUGAUCAGCCACACUGGAACUGAGACACGGUCCAGACUCCUACGGGAGGCAGCAGUGGGGAAUAUUGGACAAUGGGCGCAAGCCUGAUCCAGCCAUACCGCGUGGGUGAAGAAGGCCUUCGGGUUGUAAAGCCCUUUUGUUGGGAAAGAAAAGCAGCAGGUUAAUACCCCGCUGUUCUGACGGUACCCAAAGAAUAAGCACCGGCUAACUUCGUG